rnacentral:rRNA from 1 species
GACGAACGCUGGCGGCGUGCCUAAUACAUGCAAGUCGAACGCAGUGGGGACGGGUGAGUAACACGUGGGUAACCUCCCAUCAGAGGGGAUAACACUUGGAAACAGGUGCUAAACCGAUACUGAUGGAUGGACCCGCGGGUCAUUAGCUAGUUGGUGAGGUAACGGCGCACCAAGGCCACGAUGCAUAGCCGACCUGAGGGGGGGAUCCGCCAAAAUGGGACUGAGGAACGGGCCAGACUCCUAAGGGAGGCAGCAGUAGGGAAUCUUCGGCAAGGGACGAAAGUCUGACCGAGCAACGCCGCGUGAGUGAAGAAGGUUUUCGGAUCGUAAAACUCUGUUGUUAGAGAAGCGGUAUCUAACCAGAAAGCCACGGCUAACUACGUGCCAGCCGCCGCGGUAAUUA